rnacentral:rRNA from 1 species
GUGAGGAAUAUUGGACAAUGGGCGCAAGCCUGAUCCAGCCAUGCCGCGUGCAGGAAGAAGCAUCUAUGGUGUGUAAACUGCUUUUGUACGGGAAGAAGCACUCCUUCGUGAAGGAGCUUGACGGUACCGUAAGAAUAAGGAUCGGCUAACUCCGUGCCAGCAGCCGCGGUAAUACGGAGGAUCCAAGCGUUAUCCGGAAUCAUUGGGUUUAAAGGGUCCGUAGGCGGGUUGGUAAGUCAGUGGUGAAAGCCCGCAGCUCAACUGUGGAACGGCCAUUGAUACUGACAGACUUGAAUUACAAGGAAGUAAAUAGAAUAUGUAGUGUAGCGGUGAAAUGCUUAGAUAUUACAUGGAAUACCAAUUGCGAAGGCAGGUUACUACUUGUGGAUUGACGCUGAUGGACGAAAGCGUGGGGAGCGAACAGGAUUAGAUACCCGUGUAGUCC